GUUCCUUGGCUUUCCUCAAAUACUUGUGCAAAUUCUCAACAUGCCGCUCGGAAUUUUCGUGAUUCAAAAUAUUCAUACGGUUGCCAGACAGCCAACAUUGGCAAAUUGAACAGAAAUGCUUUGCUGUAGAAACCCAUCUUUCAGUCAUUUUCAAAAAAAAAAAAAAAAAAAAAAAAAAAAA
rnacentral:ribozyme from 12 species